CGGUUAUCGGGAAGUUGGUUCAGGUGAAGGCUUCUUUGAUGUGCCCGCAGUUCUCUCUUUGCACCUCUGCGGGGAGAGGGAACAAAAGACUCUCAGGUUUCUUUACCUACACCAAACAUGCCUCUAAGAAAUAAACCUAAACGAGUAAAGGAAAGAACUUUCCUUCCCAACAGCCAUAGAUGUUACAGCAAAAUAACUUAAUUUUGGAGUCAGAGCCCAAAGAGAACAUACAUGGCUUUGUUCCAGAAUUCUGCAUCCUUUCCUGCUUCUGUCAGGAUUCCUUUUUUCAAGCAUCUAUACUUCAACUGUUCUGAACCAGUAUGAUGUGUGGGAUUUUA